AAUUAGUAGAGAAGCGUGUGAGCCAGCUGCCAAGAAAAGCCGCUAUUGUUUCAUAAGUACCCGUACCGUAAACCGACACAGGUGGAUGAGGAGAGAAUCCUAAGGCCGGCGGGAGAAGUGUUGUUAAGGAACUCGGCAAAAUGACUCCGUAACUUCGGGAGAAGGAGUGCCACAGAGAUGUGGCCGCAGAGAAAUGGCCCAAGCAACUGUUUAGCAAAAACACAGGUCUAUGCAAAACCGAAAGGUGAGGUAUAUGGGCUGACGCCUGCCCGGUGCUGGAAGGUUAAGAGGAGAGGUUAGAGCAAUCGAAGCUUUGAAUUUAAGCCCCAGUAAACGGCGGCCGUAACAAUAACGGUCCUAAGGUAGCGAAAUUCCUUGUCGGGUAAGUUCCGACCCGCACGAAAGGCGUAAUGAUUUGGGCACUGUCUCAACAACACACCCGGUGAAAUUGAAAUACCAGUGAAGAUGCUGGUUACCUGCGCCAGGACGGAAAGACCCCAUGGAGCUUUACUCCAGUUUGAUACUGGGAUUCGGUACUGUCUGUGCAGGAUAGGUGGGAGGCUAGGAAAUGGUGACGCCAGUUGCCAUGGAGCCAACCUUGGGAUACCACCCUUACAGUACUGGGUUUCUAACCUGCAGCCGUAACCCGGCUGGGGGACAAUGUCUGACGGGGAGUUUGACUGGGGCGGUCGCCUCCGAAAGAGUAUCGGAGGCGCUCAAAGGUUCCCUCAGAACGGUUGGAAACCGUUCGAAGAGUGCAAAGGCAGAAGGGAGCUUGACUGCGACACCGACGGGUGGAGCAGAUACGAAAGUAGGACUUAGUGAUCCGGUGGUAUAAAGUGGGAUUGCCAUCGCUCAACGGAUAAAAGCUACCCUGGGAUAACAGGCUUAUCACUCCCAAGAGUUCACAUCGACGGAGUGGUUUGGCACCUCGAUGUCGGCUCAUCGCAUCCUGGAGCUGUAGCAGGUUCCAAGGGUUGGGCUGUUCGCCCAUUAAAGCGGUACGCGAGCUGGGUUCAGAACGUCGUGAGACAGUUCGGUCCCUAUCCGGCGUGGGCGUAGGAUAUUUGAGAGGAGCUGUCCUUAGUACGAGAGGACCGGGAUGGACAAACCUCUGGUGUAUCUGUUGUUUUACCAAAGGCAUGGCAGAGUAGCCAAGUUUGGCAGGGAUAAACGCUGAAGGCAUCUAAGCGUGAAGCCCCCCUCAAGAUAAGAUAUCCCAUCUUCGGAGUAAGACCCCUUGAAGACUACAAGGUUGAUAGGCUUCAGGUGUAAGUGUGGUAACGCACUCAGCUGAGAAGUACUAAUAGGUCGAGGACUUAUCAA
rnacentral:rRNA from 1 species